UGGUGUGCCUUGCACCAUGAGGGAUUUAUUCUUUUUCCUCCUCUCAAUACAACAUGUGGUGCUUGGUGUUUUUGUAGGUUGUAUAUCCAUGAUGGUGCAGACUUGUGUGUGUGUGUGUAGGUAUACUUGGUAGAAGAGAUGUGUAGGGUGUUUUGCAAACUUGUAAGUUUAUGUGGAUGUUGUUGUGUGUGUUGGCACUAGGGUAGCAUGUGUAGAUGCAUGUUAUGAUAUUUACUAUAGGGUGUGAUUUUGUGCUUGUGGGUUUGGCUCAUGCCCUAGUG
rnacentral:lncRNA from 1 species